GUGUAAGUAUGAACUAAUUCAAACGGUGAAACUGCGAAUGGCUCAUUAAAUUAGUUAUAGUUUGUUUGAUGGAAUCUACUACUUGGAUAACCGUAGUAAUUCUAGAGCUAAUUUAGCCAUUUCGCUUCCUUAUUGGCGUCCGCCAAAUAUAUAAAAACUCAACCUCCAUUAAGAAUGUGAGAGAAAAGUUUGCUUUUUGAAGGCCUAACAGGCUUUGAACAAGAAAACUAAAAAAAACCUAUUCAUAUCUUUUUGAUCAAUUGAGGAG
rnacentral:ncRNA from 1 species